rnacentral:rRNA from 1 species
GAUGAACGCUGGCGGCGUGCUUAACACAUGCAAGUCGAACGAUGAAGCUGGAGCUUGCUCCGGUGGAUUAGUGGCGAACGGGUGAGUAACACGUGAGCAAUCUGCCCUUGACUCUGGGAUAACUGCGGGAAACUGUAGCUAAUACCGGAUACGACGCCUUGGGGCAUCCCACGGGCGUGGAAAGAAUUUCGGUCAAGGAUGAGCUCGCGGCCUAUCAGCUAGUUGGUGAGGUAAUGGCUCACCAAGGCGACGACGGGUAGCCGGCCUGAGAGGGUGACCGGCCACACUGGGACUGAGACACGGCCCAGACUCCUACGGGAGGCAGCAGUGGGGAAUAUUGCGCAAUGGGCGAAAGCCUGACGCAGCAACGCCGCGUGAGGGAUGAAGGCCUUCGGGUUGUAAACCUCUUUUAUCAGG